rnacentral:rRNA from 1 species
UACGUAGGGUGCGAGCGUUAAUCGGAAUUACUGGGCGUAAAGCGUGCGCAGGCGGUUCGUCGUGUCCGAUGUGAAAGCCCCGGGCUCAACCUGGGAAUGGCAUUGGAAACUGGCGGACUCGAGUGUGGCAGAGGGGGGUGGAAUGCCGCGUGUAGCAGUGAAAUGCGUAGAGAUGCGGCGGAACACCGAUGGCGAAGGCAGCCCCCUGGGCUGAGAUUGACGCUCAGGCACGAAAGCGUGGGGAGCAAACAGG